rnacentral:rRNA from 1 species
CCUACGGGAGGCAGCAGUGAGGAAUAUUGGUCAAUGGACGCAAGUCUGAACCAGCCAAGUAGCGUGCAGUCUUCCUUCCCUCCUUUUUUUCCCCUGCUUUUAGUUGGGAAUAAAAGGGGGCUCGUGAGCCCCGUAUUGUAUGUACCAUCAGAAAAAGGACCGGCUAAUUCCGUGCCAGCAGCCGCGGUAAUACGGAAGGUCCGGGCGUUAUCCGGAUUUAUUGGGUUUAAAGGGAGCGUAGGCCGGCUUUUAAGUCAGCUGUGAAAGUCCGCGGCUCAACCGUGGAAUUGCAGUUGAAACUGGAGGCCUUGAGUGCACACAGGGAUGCCGGAAUUCAUGGUGUAGCGGUGAAAUGCUUAGAUAUCAUGAAGAACUCCGAUCGCGAAGGCAAGUGUCCGGGGUGCAACUGACGCUGAGGCUCGAAAGUGCGGGUAUCAAACAGGAUUAGAUACCCUGGUAGUC